rnacentral:rRNA from 1 species
AUACAGAGGGUCCAAGCGUUAAUCGGAAUUACUGGGCGUAAAGCGUGCGCAGGCGGUUGUGCAAGACCGAUGUGAAAUCCCCGGGCUUAACCUGGGAAUUGCAUUGGUGACUGCACGGCUAGAGUGUGUCAGAGGGAGGUAGAAUUCCACGUGUAGCAGUGAAAUGCGUAGAGAUGUGGAGGAAUACCGAUGGCGAAGGCAGCCUCCUGGGAUAACACUGACGCUCAUGCACGAAAGCGUGGGGAGCAAACAGGAUUAGAAACCCCGGUAGUCC